GCAGGAUCUUACCUAAGAUCUUGCAGGAUCUUGCAAGAUCUUGCUAUUAUCAUGGCAAGAUCUUGUCAUGAUCAUGGUAAGAUCUUGCAAGAUCCUGCAAGAUCUUAGGUAAGAUCCUG